AUCUUCUGAGCCUCUUCAAAAGAUGUACAAACUGACUAUAACAGACUGUUUUUUUUUGUUUGUUUUUUUUAACGAGUGUCUAUUUUUUCAAUGAUUUCUUAGACAGAGUUCAAACCCCGCCCUCAUCAAAGUGAAAUGAUGGUAGGACGUCAGGAAAGUUCAGAAAGCGCCACAGCUGGUGAUACACAAGAACCACAACAUAUAGGAUGCAGCAUGAUUGCAGACAUGGUGAACUCCAGCUGUGGAACUGAACCACAUUUCAACAGGGUUAAAGAGCCUGAAUGUGAAACGGUACAAUUAAAAGAAUCAGACAAAGAGGUAUACAUCAGUGCAGCUGAGCAAGAAGCUGUUUCAGCUCCUGUUGUGAUCCUCUCUGACGUGACACGAGGCGAUGCAGUAAGUGACAGAUUACAAUCUACAGAAUUGUUGUUGGAGUCUGCCAAUCUUCAUGAAAUUGACCCAGCCCUAAUUGACAUCCUCCCUGAAGUGAAACAAGACAAUGUAACCAAAAUGGAGACUGAAGAACAUAGUGCUGAUAUCAAAAAUGAGCCCCAGGACCAGCCAGAUUUGGAAGAGCCUGCGAUUAAACUCCUUGGGGAAUUGGGCGAGGUGGAGAAUGCGACCAAGACAACCUCUAGUCCUGAACCACAGACAUCUCACAAAGACCAAUGCUCCCCAAACCCUUGCCAUGAAAGGUCAUUGGACGUGGAUGGAGAUGGUGUGCUUUUUCAAGAAAUAGAAGAGACUAAGAUGGAUCAGAAGGCUGGAGAUCAUGAUCCUGAAAUUUUAUCAGGUGCAGUACUAGAGCAUUUAGUAGAAACGUAUUUUAAUAGUGAGAUGCAGUUGCAGGCUACUGAAGGGACGGAAAUUUUGGAGCCUCCAGCAAAGAAAAGAUUAAGAAGAAGAAUGGGUAUGUGUGGCCUAGGAGACAGGAAGAGGAGAUUCCCCUUUGAUGGACAGCACUGUAGGCAGGGUCUUAUAGGAAGAGAGAGGGAAGAAGGACCUCUUAAGGGAAAUAAAUGUGCACAGCACCUGCAUGACCCGCUGUUGGAGAAUGAUGGUACCACACCAAUGAACAUGAAGGAACUACCAGACCCGCAUGUCAAGAAAAUGAAGAGGUUUUGAAAAACAAGGAGAACAAUAGUGCUGCAGUGAUUGAUGAUAAAAGAACACCAGGAGAAGCAGAAAAAGAACAAAAAAAAAACAUGAAUAAGUGCACUGCAUUGAUGAGAGACGGUGAUACCACAGAUGAAUCCCCUACAGAAAAUAGAGAUGUUCUGGAAAAAGUCAUAUUGGAGGAAAAUGAUGGUAUUGUAAUCAUGGAUAACAAAGGAACUACUGAACAAGUGGUUUCAGAGCAUCACCUUAAACUGUUAGAAGAUAUAUCACCAGGGGUUGGACAAACACUGUUAAGUCCUACCAUUGGGAAAAACUUGAACAUGAGCCAAGAUGAACGGUCAGUAGCUGCUGCUACCAGUGACCAUGAAAUAGAAACUGCUACCUGUGGUGAAGAACCAAAUGUCCCUGGGACCGACAUGACCAACAAUAGACAAGAUAUCGAAUUUAACAUGAAACACGACGUUCUGCCAGAGACACAGCAUCUUCAUGCUGAUUAUAAAGUGGGCGAGGACCCCGAUGAGAUUGCGAUGGAAGAUGAAGUUGCUCAGGAAGUGAUCUGUAGCUCAGUUUGUGCUACGGUUGAAAAGUCUGAAGGUUGUUUCAUAGUCACUAGACAGGUCCGAGAGGUUCCAACUGGUCUGGAAGAAAGUGAAAUGGAGAUUGAAGAGUGGUGUCCAUCCAAUAUGGCUCCCACUGAGAAACAUGACCCGAACGGACCUGAACUGGGCGGGUCCACUGAAAAAGGAUUGGACGCCAGAUUUGUCGACAGCACGGGUAUUGCUUCCAUUGAAAUACAUCAUGUGAAAGGUCACUGUGAAAACGACAAGCCCAUAACAGCUGUAUCAGGGAGUACAGAGCCUGCUGGAGGAGAUGCCAUCAAUGCUAAGCAGAACAGUGAACCUCUAGCACCACCUACUGUCCAGGAGAAGUGCAUGCAGCAGGUCUGUAACCCCACCCUGACCCCUGCUCCUAGUGAGGCAUCUCAGGAGACUGGCUUAUCCGUUCCAUCGUCGCUUUACUCUAUGACGGACUCCCAACUCCAUAAAAUUGCAUUAAGCAUGGAGCUGGAGGACCAGCCUAUCCCAGAAGGCUGUGAUCACCAGGAGGAUGCCACAGAGCUUGUGCGUGGCCUCAUCAGAGAACUCUCCUCUAUAAAUCGUACCGUGAUGGCGGCACACCGUGAGAUGGAACUCUUGCGCCGUGGAAAACUUCUAAAGGCUCCGAAUCGUCGCCUUUGUGGUCCUCGCCAUACCGAGAUGUAACCACAUGAUGGAGAUAUGAUGCGGAUAAUAGUCUCAUCCUUCUAUAAAAUUAUUAUUUGGCAGUAGGGCCUAUAAUGCUUGUUUAUACAAAUCUUUGUUGAGGUGUAUAUAUAAAGAGGUAAGGAGUAAAUGGUGUAACUUUGAUUUUGUGUUCGAGACUGGAUCUGUCUAGGUUAGAGGAGUUCUACAGGUUUACUUGUUUGUCCAUAAAGUUUGAUCUGUUUUUAUUUUUAUACAGAAUGCAUUACUAGAGUGUCAGAAUGAGCCUCAGCAGUUUCUCAAGGCAGCUAGCCAUGUCUCACAUUCCGUCUUUUCGCUUUUCAGAAACUGAUUGAUACGAGUACUUAAGUAGAUUAAUGUGUAGACUUGCUUUUUUAUGUCACUUUGAAGUGGGAGCUCCUUUUUAAUGCGCUCACCACCAUAAUUGUUUUGUUUACAAGUCCUUGAGUUGGUGAAAAAUGUUUGUUUUAUUGUUGUAACUCCAAGACCAGUUGAUAAUUCGGUCAUCUACAC
ensembl:lncRNA